rnacentral:rRNA from 1 species
UACAGAGGGGGCGAGCGUUGUUCGGAAUUACUGGGCGUAAAGGGCGCGUAGGCGGCCCGCUAAGUCGAACGUGAAAUCCCCAGGCUCAACCUGGGAACUGCGUCCGAUACUGGCAGGCUUGAAUCCGGGAGAGGGAUGUGGAAUUCCAGGUGUAGCGGUGAAAUGCGUAGAUAUCGGGAGGAACACCAGUGGCGAAGGCGACUUCCUGGCCUGUUCUUGACGCUGAGGCGCGAAAGCUAGGGGAGCAAACAGG